UACGUAGGGGGCAAGCGUUGUCCGGAUUUACUGGGCGUAAAGAGCGCGUAGGCGGAAGCUUAAGUGUGGCCUGAAAGCCCCCGGCUCAACCGGGGAAGGUGGCUGCAAACUGGGCUUCUUGAGGGGGAUAGAGGAAAGUGGAAUUCCGGGUGUAGCGGUGAAAUGCGUAGAGAUCCGGAGGAACACCAGUGGCGAAGGCGGCUUUCUGGGUCCGCCCUGACGCUGAGGCGCGAAAGCGUGGGGAGCGAACGGG
rnacentral:rRNA from 2 species